rnacentral:tRNA from 1 species
AAAAUAUUAGGUUAAGUUAAACCGUUGACCUUCAAAGUCAAUAAUCUUUUUGAUGUUUUG